UACGUAGGUGGCAAGCGUUGUCCGGAUUUACUGGGCGUAAAGAGCGCGCAGGCGGUCGUUCAAGUCGCGUGUGAAAGCCCCCGGCUCAACUGGGGAGGGUCACGCGAUACUGAUCGACUCGAAGGCAGGAGAGGGUAGUGGAAUUCCCGGUGUAGUGGUGAAAUGCGUAGAUAUCGGAAGGAACACCGGUGGCGAAAGCGGCGCGCUGGAUCUCUUCUGACGCUGAUGCGCGAAAGCCAGGGGAGCAAACGGG
rnacentral:rRNA from 1 species